UUCGGGGUACUCGAGUGGCGAACGGGUGAGUAACACGUGGGUGAUCUGCCCUGCACUCUGGGAUAAGCCUGGGAAACUGGGUCUAAUACCGGAUAGGACCACACACUUCAUGGUGAGUGGUGCAAAGCUUUUGCGGUGUGGGAUGAGCCCGCGGCCUAUCAGCUUGUUGGUGGGGUAAUGGCCCACCAAGGCGACGACGGGUAGCCGGCCUGAGAGGGUGACCGGCCACACUGGGACUGAGAUACGGCCCAGACUCCUACGGGAGGCAGCAGUGGGGAAUAUUGCACAAUGGGCGCAAGCCUGAUGCAGCGACGCCGCGUGAGGGAUGACGGCCUUCGGGUUGUAAACCUCUUUCAGUAGGGACGAAGCGAAAGUGACGGUACCUACAGAAGAAGGACCGGCCAACUACGUGCCAGCAGCCGCGGUAAUACGUAGGGUCCGAGCGUUGUCCGGAAUUACUGGGCGUAAAGAGCUCGUAGGUGGUUUGUCGCGUUGUUCGUGAAAACUCACAGCUUAACUGUGGGCGUGCGGGCGAUACGGGCAGACUAGAGUACUGCAGGGGAGACUGGAAUUCCUGGUGUAGCGGUGGAAUGCGCAGAUAUCAGGAGGAACACCGGUGGCGAAGGCGGGUCUCUGGGCAGUAACUGACGCUGAGGAGCGAAAGCGUGGGUAGCGAACAGGAUUAGAUACCCUGGUAGUCCACGCCGUAAACGGUGGGUACUAGGUGUGGGUUUCCUUCCUUGGGAUCCGUGCCGUAGCUAACG
rnacentral:rRNA from 1 species